GGGAAUGUGGCUUAGUGGUAGAGUGCUUGUUUAGCAGGCAUGAAGCCCUAGGUUCGAUUCCUCACAUAAACA
rfam:Dipodomys ordii contig_1269, whole genome shotgun sequence.